CAGAAACUGUCUAAUGGGGAGUUUGGCUGGGGCAGCACAUCUGUUAAAUAAUAAUGCAGUGUCUUAAGAGGGUCUCAUGGAGACAGAAAGCUCCAGUAGAAUAAAAGGGUAAAAGCCGCUUGAUUCUGAUUUUCAGUGUGAUUACAAACCAUAAAAGUGUGGCCUAUCGAUCCUUUAUAUUCACCUCAGAAUUUGAGGCUAGAGGUGCCAGAAAAGCUACCACAGGGAUAACUGGCUUGUAAAAGUCAAGCUUUCAUAGCGACAUUGCAUUUUGAUUCUUCGAUGUCUGCUCUUCCUAUCAUACCGAAGCAGAAUUCGGUAGGCGUUGGAGUGUUCACGCACUAAUAGGGACGUGAGCUGGGUUUAGACCGUCGUGAGACAGGUUAGUUUUACCCUACUAAUGGACAAUUGUUCCGACUCUGCUCCGUCUUCCCGCCUCUUUACUCCCCUUUUUCGAAUAGUUAUAUAAACAGCUCUGAUUCCUCCUUUGAGAAAACAUCAACGAAUACAGCGAGCUUAGUACUAAAGUUGUACCUAGAAUCUAGCAGGUAUGGUAUAGCACCAUAGAGUACACUUAGUCAAAGACCGACAGUAUACUCAAAAUAUUACUACAAGUAAUCCAUAGAGAAAAUCACAUACCGAAAGGUGGCCGUAUGGAGUACAUCUUAGGAAGGGAGGCACGUAUAAUAUAUAAUUGACUGGAUUUUCAUACCAUGAUUUAAUAAUUGUCUAG
rnacentral:rRNA from 1 species